CUUAACAGCAGGGCCACCAGGCAGAGCGGGACAGCCAGGAGGAAGGGCAGCUUGGCAGAGCCUCAGGAUGGACCCCCUUGAGGACACGCUGCGGCGACUGCGGGAGGCCUUCCACGCGGGGCGCACGCGGCCAGCUGAGUUCCGGGCUGCGCAGCUCCGAGGCCUGGGCUGCUUCCUGCAAGAAAACAAGCAGCUUCUGCACGACGCACUGGCCCAGGACCUGCACAAGGUGGGCUGGGGUUGGGGGUAUGAGAGGGUGCACUGGGGCAGGGGGGCAUGGAGGGCAGCUGGGACAGCAGGGGGUGAAGACACCUGCACCCUCCAUGAAGCGGGGCUAAAAGCAGCUCCUCCCCUAGGCCAGAGCCACCCUUGCACAUUCAUCCAGUCACUCAUUUCUGUAUUCAUGCAGCAACUAUUUGCUGAGCACCUACUAUGUGCCAGGUACUGUUCUAGGCUCUGGGGAUAUAGCAGAGAAUAAAACACAGUUCCCAUGCCUACGAAGCUGACCUUCUGUCGGAGACAAUAAAACAGCAAAUAAAUAAUUGCACAGCAAGGCCGGGCCCGGUGGCUCACACCUGUAGUCCCAGCACUUUGGGAGGCCCAGGUGGGCGGAUCGCUUGAGGCCAGGAGUUCAAGACCAGCCUGGCCAACAUGGCGAAACCCCGUCUCUACUAACAAUACAAAAAUUAGCUGGAUGUGGUGGUGGGCACCUGUAAUCCCAGCUACUCAGGAGGCUGAGGCAUGAGAAUCGCUUGAACCUGGGAGGUGGAGGUUGCAGUGAGCCAAGGUCACACCACUGCACUCCAGCUUGGGCAACACAGUGAGACUUCAUCUCAAAAAUAAUAAUAAAGAUAAUAAUUACACAGCAUAUUGGGUUGAAAUAUGUGCCCUGGAGACACACCCAAGGUGAAGGGGAGAGAGGGGGCCAGGAUCAGGGUGCUGCUGUAUAUGUGGGGGUCAGGGAAGGUUUCUCUGAGAAGGGGGCUUUACAGCAGAGAUGUGAAGAUGGAGGGGGAGGCUCCCCAUGGAUGCUGGGGAGAUGGCAGUGGGCACAGCACGUGCAAAGGCCCUGAGGCAGGAGGUGCUGGGUGUUUCUGCUUGAGGAGCAGCAAGGAAGCCAGCAUAGCUGUCGGGGGUGGGAGAGGAAGAAACAGCAAAGAUGAGGUCUGGGGUAUGGGCCACACUAUGUACGGCCUCGGAGGCCGUGAGGCCUUGGCCUUCUCUCUGGGUACAGCAGGCAUCAUGGCCUCUGUCUAGACCCUGAAGGCUUGGGGCCUCAGCCCCUCCCAAUCCCAGUGGCAGCCGAGGCAGAACCCCAAGAAACACACUUCCCCCAACCCCUCACCCAUCAGGGCCCAUGUACCUGCCUGCCCCUGCCUCAGGACACCACCUGCCCCUGCCUCAGGACACCACCUGCCCCUGCCUCAGGACAUCUGCCCCAGGGGCUGCCCCCGGCUCCUAUUCUCUGGACAAAAUGUCUCCUCCCUUUGCCUUGAAGGCCGUAGUGUUCAGACCUUCCCCCAGCCCAUUGGGCUCCCUGGGGACUGACUCCCCCGCCACCACUGAGCUUCCGCCACCGGCCGCCUGCCGGCCUUCACGAGACUUGACCUGACGUCUGUCUGGUCCCUUUUCUCCCUUCGGCUCUGAUUCCACCUCCUGCCUUCCCAUCCCAGCUGCAGGAGCGGGGCCCUACAAAGGCAGCAGUAGCCCAGAACAUUCAACCUGGUCCCUCCCUCUGGACCUGGUCACCCCCCUGUCCCCACCCUCAGCAGGCAGCAUCUGCCCAGCGUCACAUGCACCCUCUCAGUUAACCCCUUGGUGAAUCUGGUUGGGCAACCACACCCAGUGGCCCCCAGAAGAGGCUCAGAGAGAGUGUGUUCUUGCCCAAGGGCAUGCAGCCAGGAAGAGCAGAGCCAGAGUUUGAACCUGGCUCAAAAUAGCCCAGUCUCCCAAAGUCAGGUCCCAGGUGACCUAGGAGGUGUGGUGGGCAGGCCACCAGGCUCAUGGGGCCAGAGCACAGGCUGUGGGAAAGUCCGUGUGGAAGGCACCUUCGCCCAGCCUCAGUGGCUGGGAGGUGCCGGUGGGCGUGGCGUCUUCCUCCCUCUUGGGGCUCAGCUAUAGCCCUGGCCUUGCCCCUGGUUCGCUGAGUGACCUCAGGCAGGGCAUCUCCUUCUCUGGGCUUCGCUGGUCCUCUGGCCCAUCCAGCACCCCACUGGCCCGUCCCCCUCUGCCCUGACCCGGGAGAGCCUGCACCCCAUAACCUCAGGCGCUGCCUCAGGCAGGGAGCCAGCCUGGCCCCAGUGUCCCUGACCUGUUCUCCAGCGGCCUGCAGCCUGCUGCCUGGCUGGUCUCUCCUCCCUUGGGGUGCAGAGGACAGGGAGCACUGGCUAGCCGAGAGCAGGACAAUGUCCCUAUUGAUUCGGGUCUCCUCACUUCUGCUUAGAAGCCUGACAGUGGCCCUGGCCCCUGGGCUGUGGGAACUGACAGCAUUUACCUAGGGGUGGCUGUGCCUGUGUCUCCUGCAGACCAAUCUCCACCCUGCUCUUUGGGAGGCUGAGGUGGGAGGAUUGUUUGAGGCCAGGAGUUCAAGACCUACCUAGGCAACAUAGCAAGACACUCUGCAAAAAAUCAAAACAAACUUUUUUUAAAAUUAAAAAAAAACAAAACCCUAAGUCAGAUCCCAUCCCUGCUCUUCUCAGGAGUCCUUGCCUGGCCACCUGGCCCCCUCACCUUGCCCACUCUGCUUCUUGCUAAACAGGAGCAGAGCAAGCUCACAGCCACCUCGGGGCCUUUGCAGCCGCCAGGGCCUCUGCCCAAAGUAUGCCGCCUCCCAGUACCCACGACUUGCUUGUUCCUUGCCUUCAGGUCACUGCUCCAAUGUGACCGCUGCCUGGAGACCUGCACUGACCGCUUUGUAAAAACAGCACACACACACAUGCUCAUGUGGAUGUAUACAUGUGCACACCUGUGCACGCCCACAGCCACACGCUCCAGCAGUCUCCACCCCCACCCUGCUCCAUGAUUUCCCUAGCACAGCCACAUCCUAAUGGAGCCGUCAGCGUUCUCACUUUCACGUGGAACGACUGCCCCCUGCAAGGUCGGCCUCAGGGCCGGUCCCUCUGUUUGGCACAGAGACAGCACCUCACACAGGAAGCACGCACUGAACAUGGAGUGAGUGAGUGAGUGAACGAAUGAAUGAAAAUGAAUGAAUGAGUUGUGGGAGCAGGCCCUGCCUGGAGGAGGCUGUGCCCUCCUGCCAACUCUGGGAAUCCUGGCCCACCCUGACCCCACCCACUUCCUGCAGUCAGCCUUCGAGUCGGAGGUGUCUGAGGUUGCCAUCAGCCAGGGCGAGGUCACCCUGGCCCUCAGGAACCUCCGGGCCUGGAUGAAGGACGAGCAUGUGCCCAAGAACCUGGCCACGCAGCUGGACUCCGCCUUCAUCCGGAAGGAGCCCUUUGGCCUGGUCCUCAUCAUUGCACCCUGGAACUAUCCCCUGAACCUGACGCUGGUGCCCCUCGUGGGUGCCCUCGCUGCAGGGAACUGUGUGGUGCUGAAGCCAUCAGAGAUUAGCAAGAAUGUCGAGAAGAUCCUGGCCGAGGUGCUGCCCCGAUACCUGGACCAGAGCUGCUUUGCUGUGGUGCUGGGCGGGCCCCAGGAGACGGGGCAGCUGCUGGAGCACAGGUUCGACUACAUCUUCUUCACAGGGAGCCCUCGUGUGGGCAAGAUUGUUAUGACUGCUGCCGCCAAGCACCUGACACCUGUCACCCUGGAGCUGGGGGGCAAGAACCCUUGCUACGUGGACGACAACUGCGACCCCCAGACCGUGGCCAACCGCGUGGCCUGGUUCCGCUACUUCAACGCUGGCCAGACCUGCGUGGCCCCCGACUACGUCCUGUGCAGCCCCGAGAUGCAGGAGAGGCUGCUACCCGCCCUGCAGAGCACCAUCACCCGUUUCUAUGGCGACGACCCCCAGAGCUCCCCAAACCUGGGCCGCAUCAUCAACCAGAAACAGUUCCAGCGGCUGCGGGCAUUGCUGGGCUGCGGCCGCGUGGCCAUUGGGGGCCAGAGCGACGAGAGCGAUCGCUACAUCGCCCCCACGGUGCUGGUGGACGUGCAGGAGACGGAGCCUGUGAUGCAGGAGGAGAUCUUCGGGCCCAUCCUGCCCAUCGUGAACGUGCGGAGCUUGGACGAGGCCAUCGAGUUCAUCAACCGGCGGGAGAAGCCCCUGGCCCUGUACGCCUUCUCCAACAGCAGCCAGGUGGUCAAGCGGGUGCUGACCCAGACCAGCAGCGGGGGCUUCUGUGGGAACGACGGCUUCAUGCACAUGACCCUGGCCAGCCUGCCUUUUGGAGGAGUGGGUGCCAGUGGGAUGGGCCGGUACCAUGGCAAGUUCUCCUUCGACACCUUCUCCCACCAUCGCGCCUGCCUCCUGCGCAGCCCGGGGAUGGAGAAGCUCAACGCCCUCCGCUACCCGCCGCAAUCGCCGCGCCGCCUGAGGAUGCUGCUGGUGGCCAUGGAGGCCCGAGGCUGCAGCUGCACACUGCUCUGAGCCCUUCCCCAGGCCCAGGCUGUAGACCACCAUGACAGCUGUCGCCUGCGGCUGGUGGAGACGGGGCCUGGGCUCCCGGGCCCGAGGAGGAAAAGGAUUGCCAAGGCUCCAGGGCACCCCUCAAAGCAGCGCCUGCCUCCUCCCUCCUGGGUCUUCCCUCUCCCUGCCUCAGCCUCCUCCCUCAGCCGCUCCCAACCAUGAGAGCCGAGGUGGGAGGCAUGGGAAACAGUGCAGUGACCCAUCCCCUGCCCCCGCACCAACCACCCAUCUUCAGGAGAAGAGGACAGACACGGCACCUCUGAGUCACCCCUCUCCUGUGGAGCGGGCGUCCGAGGGGCCCUGGCAUCUGACUCAGGCCACACCAUGGAAUCACUGCAUCCAAGGCCAUUCCUGCCCUCUCUGAGUCUCAGUUUCUCCAUUUGUUCAGUGGAGAGAAUUAACCAUUGAUACCUCCUGGCUGGGUGAGGUGGCUCACACCUGUAAUCCCAGCACUUUGGGAGGCCGAGGCGGGCGGAUCACCUGAAAUCAGGAGUUCAAGAUCAGCCUGGCUAACAUGGCGAAACCCCGUCUCUACUAAAAAUACAAAAAUUAGCCCGGCGUGGUGGCGCAUGCCUGUAAUCCCAGCUACUCAGGAGGCUAAGGCAGGAGAAUCGCUUGAACCCGGGAGGUGGAGGUUGCCGUGAGCCGAGAUUGCGUCACUGAACUCCGGCCUGGGUGACAGAAGGAGGCUCUGCCUUAAAAAAAAAAAAACAAAAACCUCCUGGGACUGUUGCAAGGAUGAAAUGAAGGAUUGAGGGAUUGAGGGAUUGCUGAGCUGGAGCUCCAGGUGUCCUAUCUUUCUUGGUGGGGUGGCACGGAGCGGGGCCGCCUCCCUCUUCUCUCCAGGCAGGUGGGGCUGUGGUUAUGCGAUAGGGUCUCCCUUCCCUCCGGCCCAUGCCAGAGGAGCUUGUAACUCUUUAUCCUCAUGGUGCCCACUACGAGUCAUACUCUUCCCCAUGCUGCUCAUCCUCCUGGGCCCCAUCCACUCAGCCAAAGCAGAAUGCAGGAUUUCCUGCCUGACAACCCUUCUCACCUCCCAAGUCCCACUUUUGAACAAGCUGAUGAUUCUGAAACUGGCCCAAUUUCCUAACAAGCCGGAUGCUUGAGAAACCUACAUUUGGACAAUGAGAGGCAGCUCCUGCGGCCUGCGGGCCACCUCCUCUUCCUUGGCUCCUGCUUUCUUUUCAGACUAUAUCAACCUACAACUUUAGUCGGGAAGGGGGACAGGGGUGGACCUGAGUUUCGUCUCCUGUCUCUCUGGCUGAUGUCACCUGAAUAAAGCCUUCUUCCCUGGCAAUACUUA
rnacentral:sRNA from 1 species